AACCGAACUGAACCGAAAACCCUUAUUAGCUACCUGUGAACUGCCUCUUAUAUAAAGCCGUCGCUGACAAUCUCAUAGGAGACUCGAGAGAGUCCUAAACUUUCAAAACUAGUGAUUAUCUUCGAGUCAUGUCAUGUUAGCGUUUAGGGGUUUUGUGUGUCUAUCCACAUGUUUUCUGCUUCUAUAUAAACCCUAACGCUCUCGAUACUCUAGUUGUUGUGUAAGUAGGUGUUGUUUUGUGUCUAUGUUUCUUCGUUAGCUCAGAUUGAGGAAAGUGAUGAUAAGGAAUUGUCGCCCCAGGCUUAAUCUGCAUCCAUUACGAUGGUUGUAACAUGGUGAUUGACUAUCUCUGUCUGAUUCUUCGAAUCUUUUCUUAGAUUGUUUUA
rnacentral:sRNA from 1 species